GACGAACGCUGGCGGCGUGCUUAACACAUGCAAGUCGAGCGGAAAGGCCCUUUCGGGGGUACUCGAGCGGCGAACGGGUGAGUAACACGUGAGUAAUCUGCCCCUGGCUUUGGGAUAGCCACCGGAAACGGUGAUUAAUACCGGAUAUGACCAGCUACUGCAUGGUGGGUGGUGGAAAGUUUUUCGGCCAGGGAUGUGCUCGCGGCCUAUCAGCUUGAUGGUGAGGUAAUGGCUAACCAUGGCUUCGACGGGUAGCCGGCCUGGGAGGGUGACCGGUCACACUGGGACUGAGACACGGCGCAGACUCCUACGUGAGGCAGAAGUGGGGAAUAUUGGACAAUGGGCGGAAGCAUGAUCCAGCAACGCCGCGUGAGGGAUGACGGCCUUCGGGUUGGAAACCUCUUUCAGUACCGACGAAGCGCAAGUGACGGUAGGUACAGAAGAAGCACCGGCCAACUACGUGCCAGCCGCCGCCGUAACAC
rnacentral:rRNA from 1 species